AUUUCCUUCCCUCUCCCAUUUCUUCUUCAUUCCUUUUCUUUAUCGCUGCUAGGUUUCUUCCAUCUCCCACCUCUUCUUUUCUUCCCUCUCCACAGCACAGCCAGGUUUUUCCCUCUCUGUAGCAAGCAAGUAGUGGUUCAAAGGUAACCCUAUUUCUCACUUCUUCCUUUUCCGCAACACCGCGCACAACCUCGCCAGGCGACGAGCAACCAUUUUACAAGCGAUCACACUCGAGAGGGCUGCAACCUCGCCAGGCCGUUGGUUCACUAGCGGCAUAUUCGCGAAUGGCUACACGCGAAGGGGUCGAUGCCUCACUAGGUAACCCAUUCACAAAUAGGCACAUACGAGGGGGACGAUGCCGGGCAGUGACCUAUAGCGAGGUAGCGACAUUGCUAUCUUCUUCUGAAACUCUCGCCCUUUUCCAUCUCCAUAUACUAGUAGGAAGCUUGCCCUUUUCCUCACGCAGCACCGAGUCGAAUUGAUCGGUCUUUCCUUUCCCGACAUUCAUCUUCUCACAGGUUUGUGUCUUAAUCCUCGAUUGCCCCUCCCCGCUUUUCAAUUCUUCCCCUCAUGGCACGGUCUCGUAGCGCUCUUGCUGGAGCACGUCCGAAGGAUAUGUUGCGAGCACUGUAUUCUUCUCUUUUUCUAACUAUUUUCCUUGUUUGUUGGUUGGCACAUGUUCCCCUCCCCUUUUCAAUUUCUCCUCUCACGGCAUAGUUGUGAUGGCGGGUGUUGGUCUUGAUGCUUGUUGUCAUUGCGCUAAUGUUGGUGCACGGUUGAAGGAUCAAUUUUCUUCUUCAGACGUGUUCUUCAAAGAUCUGAAAUCCUUGAAGAAGGAGUGUGAAGAGGCAUUGGUUUUGGAUCCUGCUUUCAGGCAUGCACAGCAAAGGUUGGCAUCGUUGCUUAUAAGGGAGCUUCAAGCAGUGGAAAGACAUUUGGACAUGUGUGCAGAAGCCCGAAAGGUUGUAGAUUGGAAGAGUGACCUUAAGGAGAGUGAUGCUGCCUUCAUUGAAGGAGCAAAUGCUUCAUCAUUUGUAAUGGCUUCAAAAUGUGAAGCGUAACUUUAACUUCAUCAACUUGAAGAAGCUGAUAUGGUCAUAUCCAAUGUAUUUAAACUUGAUAGUGUUUGAAAAUGUCUUCACAAUAAGCAAAGCAGAUUCAUCCUAGAAAUGUGGAGAUAUAUACAUUAUUGAACAACACAAGAGCUAUAUCUCAAGCACGAGCAUUAGGCAAUGAACUCUUUAACUCAAGAAAAUUUAUGGAAGCAAGCUUAGCUUACGGGAAGGACUCAAGUAUGACCCUGCAAACCUUGUUCUUUACUGCAACUCGGAUAAUACGAAAGACUGUUGAGGAUUGCAACAAACCUUAGUAUUCAAGUCAACUACAUGAAUGCCCUUCUUAGUUGUGCUACCUCAUAUUCAGAGGUGAUAUGAUUCCCUUCUAAAAUUUAAUAUUUUGAGUAUAGUGUAUAACUAGUUUUGGAUGUAAAAGACUCAUCAUUAGUUUGCAUUUGUAA